UACGAAGGGGGCUAGCGUUGUUCGGAAUUACUGGGCGUAAAGGGUUCGUAGGUGGCCGACUAAGUCAGACGUGAAAUCCCUCAGCUUAACUGGGGAACUGCGUCUGAUACUGGUUGGCUUGAGGACAGGAGAGGAACGCGGAAUUCCAGGUGUAGCGGUGAAAUGCGUAGAUAUCUGGAGGAACACCGGUGGCGAAGGCGGCGUUCUGGACUGUUUCUGACACUGAGGAACGAAAGCCAGGGGAGCAAACGGG
rnacentral:rRNA from 1 species